rnacentral:lncRNA from 1 species
UUAGUUUCGAUUAUACUCCUGUUUCUUUUUUUUUUAAACGCGGCGACUCCGCCUUUUUCGAUUCGGCGCCGAGGAGGAGCUCGCCGCAACGAUUCCACGACGAUUUCGCUACGAUCCGCCUCGCACUAAUUGCCACGUUUCCUCUCCGCCCUGCCGAUUUCUACGCCUAGACGGCCGCCUAGGCGCGCCUUCCCAAACACUGAAAAAUCUUAAACCACUAUGGGCAAACAUUGAACCCAAACAAAAAAUAUAUCAGGUUAUAUUGACAACUCUAGAUGCCGUAUUAGAAUUAUUCAGUGAGAAUUAAUCUAUGUUCUCAUAUUUGUGGGAUGUUAAUCUAUAUUCUCCUACAUAAAAAUAGCUGUUUGGGGAAUGUUGAUUUCCAAUAAUCCCCCUAUUAUCUUCCUAUAUGUAUUCUUGACUUUUAGGAUCCCCUUUCUUCCAUUUUGUAAUCUUGAUUUUUAUCACAAUUUUUAUCCCCUAAAUUGUCGCGCCCGCAAUUUUGAUUUUCAUCAUAUAAAAGUCUUUCCAUCUACAACCCUCACACCAAAGUGUUGUUAGAUAGGAAGACCCGAUGCGUAACAUCUGCCACAUGGCCAACCACUACUUCUCCCAUACAACAACAAAUGUCCUAUGUGAAUUAGCCUCCAACCUUGGUUGAUAACUCAUCUUCUUUCC